GUCGACACUUAGCCCGGUUGCCCGCAUGAUGUCUCUAAUCGUUGUGGUACGACUUCGAAGUGCUCAGUCAACAGCUCGCCAUAAAAUACGGGAAGGCAUUGUGAAAUUUGGCAAGAUGGAGUGUUCCGUCAAGCAUGACAAGGGGAAGGACAACUAGAAGAGGUCACCACUGAAGCAUACACGCAUCCUUUUCCAAGUCCGCGAGACCUUGAGACACUGAACAUGAUCGCCAAAGUACACUCCAAUGGUGCAACAAGAAGAUGAUAAAAGGAGAAGAGGCUUGCUCCACUUUGGAUAGUUACGGAAUAACAACAAAAAAAGGCCAUUCUUUGAAGAGCACAGUCUUCUUCUUGCCCAUGUUAAUGUAAGUAAUCCAUGUGGACAGGAUGUUUUGUUCAUCGCUGGGAGAGCCAGUUAGAGCGGCAUGGAGACCGAGAGAGGGAUCACCUGCUUUAAAUGUUCACGUCUACACUAAUAGUCUUUAAGCCCAAAAAAUGGAAGUCAAAUAAAUGUCGUUUUAAUUGAAGCAGGUACACACGAUGCAAAAAUGUUUUUUGUUGGAAAAAUAUGUACUGUGUGUAAUGGUGCCAUGCUCGUAGGAGUUGAAGUCUGUAGAGGCAAGAUUUAAAAUGUGCAUGUAUGCCUGCACAUAUCUCUCGGAGUGUGUGAUGGUAUGCCAAGGGUGCGGAAAUAAAAAAAAAAAGGGGGGGGGGGGCACUCAAACAAGUUGAAGAGCAAAAAGCAGCUUCCUUGGACUGAAUGCACAGCCGUGGGCAAUUUGAGUGUGGAUGUGAAUGUGGAUGUGUGAGUGUUGGCCUGGGGCGAUGUGAUUGUGUGUAAGGAGUGGACUUGGGAAGAGUAAAUGUCCAUACAAACAUGC